CAUGUGAUGAUGAGCCUUAACUUGCAAGAAGAAUGCUGAGUUAAGGCUUCUUCAAUGAAAUAUGCUUGUUACGCUUGGCUUCUGAACUUC